rnacentral:rRNA from 1 species
AGUGAACGCUGGCGGUAGGCCUAACACAUGCAAGUCGAACGGCAGCACAGUAAGAGCUUGCUCUUACGGGUGGCGAGUGGCGGACGGGUCAGGAAUACAUCGGAAUCUACUUUUUCGUGGGGGAUAACGUAGGGAAACUUACGCUAAUACCGCAUAUGACCUACGGGUGUAAGCAGGGGAUAUUCGGGCCUUGCGGGAUUGGAUGAGCCGAUGUCGGAUUAGCUAGUUGGCGGGGUAAAGGCCAACCAAGGCGACGAUCCGUAGCUGGUCGGAGAGGAUGAUCAGCCACACUGGAACUGAGACACGGUCCAGACUCCUACGGUAGGCAGCAGUGGGGAAUAUUGGACAAUGGGCGCAAGCCUGAUCCAGCCAUACCGCGUGGGUGAAGAAGGCCUUCGGGUUGGAAAGCCCUUUUGUUGGUAAAGAAAAGCAGCAGGUUAAUACCCCGCGGUUCUGACGGUACCGAAAGAAUAAGCACCGGCUAACUUCGUG